AGAAUUUGGAAGGCAUUUACAAUCUGGAAGGUCACAGUAUGCCACUCAAAGACCAAAAAAGCUAAGGAAAUAUUAUCCAAAGAUCUUUUUUUUACUGAUGACAUCUUCUUGAGAUGUCUGGUUGAAAUCAAAGGACUUUUUGAGAUGGCCAGUGACAAGACAAGAUAUGGGGAUUCGGACGGUGCCAUUGUUUUAACAAAGUUGGAUAAAUCCACCACAUACUCCUUGAUAGGCUUCUGUGAGGCCCAGACCCAACAAUGUGCUGUAGCACUGAGACAACUUCACUGCCUUCACCACAAAGUUGCCACUUUGAUUCGCGCAGCUUGUCUG